AGUGAACGCUGGCGGUAGGCCUAACACAUGCAAGUCGAACGGCAGCACAGUAAGAGCUUGCUCUUACGGGUGGCGAGUGGCGGACGGGUGAGGAAUACAUCGGAAUCUACUUUUUCGUGGGGGAUAACGUAGGGAAACUUACGCUAAUACCGCAUACGCCCUACGGGGGAAAGCAGGGGAUCUUCGGACCUUGCGCGAUUGAAUGAGCCGAUGUCGGAUUAGCUAGUUGGCGGGGUAAAGGCCCACCAAGGCGACGAUCCGUAGCUGGUCUGAGAGGAUGGUCGGCCACACUGGAGCUUGGACACGGUCCAGACUCCUACGGGAGGCAGCAGUGGGGAAUAUUGGACAAUGGGCGCAAGCCUGAUCCAGCCAUACCGCGUGGGUGAAGAAGGCCUUCGGGUUGUAAAGCCCUUUUGUUGGGAAAGAAAAGCAGCAGGUUAAUACCCCGCUGUUCUGACGGUACCCAAAGAAUAAGCACCGGCUAACUUCGUG
rnacentral:rRNA from 1 species